rnacentral:rRNA from 1 species
AUCUUAGUUCAUUGCAUGUGGCCAGCACAACCUCAUUUGAUCUUGGAAGCUAAGCAGGGUCUGGCCUGGUUAGUACUUGGAUGGGAGGAUGGGAGAAUUUGGGACCUUUGGUG